AUUGAACGCUGGCGGCAGGCCUAACACAUGCAAGUCGAGCGGCAGAAGGGAGCUUGCUCUUGGGUUCAGCGGCGGACGGGUGAGUAAUGCCUAGGAAUGUGCCUGGUAGUGGGGGAUAACGUGCGGAAACGGGGGUUAAUACCGCAUACGUCCUGAGGGAGAAAGUGGGGGAUCUUCGGACCUCACGCUAUCAGAUGAGCCUAGGUCGGAUUAGCUAGUUGGUGGGGUAAAGGCCUACCAAGGCGACGAUCCGUAACUGGUCUGAGAGGAUGAUCAGUCACACUGGAACUGAGACACGGUCCAGACUCCUACGGGAGGCAGCAGUGGGGAAUAUUGGACAAUGGGCGCAAGCCUGAUCCAGCCAUGCCGCGUGUGUGAAGAAGGUCUUCGGGUUGUAAAGCACUUUUGUUUGGGAAGAAAGGCAGUAAGUUAAUACCUUGCUGUUUUGACGUUACCAACAGAAUAAGCACCGGCUAACUUCGUG
rnacentral:rRNA from 1 species